rnacentral:rRNA from 1 species
AUACAUGCAAGUCGAGCGAACAGACAAGGAGCUUGCUCCUUUGACGUUAGCGGCGGACGGGUGAGUAACACGUGGGUAACCUACCUAUAAGACUGGGAUAACUUCGGGAAACCGGAGCUAAUACCGGAUAAUAUUUCGAACCGCAUGGUUCGAUAGUGAAAGAUGGUUUUGCUAUCACUUAUAGAUGGACCCGCGCCGUAUUAGCUAGUUGGUAAGGUAACGGCUUACCAAGGCGACGAUACGUAGCCGACCUGAGAGGGUGAUCGGCCACACUGGAACUGAGACACGGUCCAGACUCCUACGGGAGGCAGCAGUAGGGAAUCUUCCGCAAUGGGCGAAAGCCUGACGGAGCAACGCCGCGUGAGUGAUGAAGGUCUUCGGAUCGUAAAACUCUGUUAUUAGGGAAGAACAUACGUGUAAGUAACUAUGCACGUCUUGACGGUACCUAAUCAGAAAGCCACGGCUAACUACGUGCCAGCAGCCGCGGUAAUACGUAGGUGGCAAGCGUUAUCCGGGAAUUAUUGGGCGUAAAGCGCGCGUAGGCGGUUUUUUAAGUCUGAUGUGAAAGCCCACGGCUCAACCGUGGAGGGUCAUUGGAAACUGGAAAACUUGAGUGCAGAAGAGGAAAGUGGAAUUCCAUGUGUAGCGGUGAAAUGCGCAGAGAUAUGGAGGAACACCAGUGGCGAAGGCGACUUUCUGGUCUGUAACUGACGCUGAUGUGCGAAAGCGUGGGGAUCAAACAGGAUUAGAUACCCUGGUAGUCCACGCCGUAAACGAUGAGUGCUAAGUGUUAGGGGGUUUCCGCCCCUUAGUGCUGCAGCUAACGCAUUAAGCACUCCGCCUGGGGAGUACGACCGCAAGGUUGAAACUCAAAGGAAUUGACGGGGACCCGCACAAGCGGUGGAGCAUGUGGUUUAAUUCGAAGCAACGCGAAGAACCUUACCAAAUCUUGACAUCCUUUGACAACUCUAGAGAUAGAGCCUUCCCCUUCGGGGGACAAAGUGACAGGUGGUGCAUGGUUGUCGUCAGCUCGUGUCGUGAGAUGUUGGGUUAAGUCCCGCAACGAGCGCAACCCUUAAGCUUAGUUGCCAUCAUUAAGUUGGGCACUCUAAGUUGACUGCCGGUGACAAACCGGAGGAAGGUGGGGAUGACGUCAAAUCAUCAUGCCCCUUAUGAUUUGGGCUACACACGUGCUACAAUGGACAAUACAAAGGGCAGCGAAACCGCGAGGUCAAGCAAAUCCCAUAAAGUUGUUCUCAGUUCGGAUUGUAGUCUGCAACUCGACUACAUGAAGCUGGAAUCGCUAGUAAUCGUAGAUCAGCAUGCUACGGUGAAUACGUUCCCGGGUCUUGUACACACCGCCCGUCACACCACGAGAGUUUGUAACACCCGAAGCCGGUGGAGUAACCAUUGGAGCUAGCCGUCGAAG